rnacentral:rRNA from 1 species
CAGUCGCCGCGGUAAUACGAAGGGGGCUAGUGUUGCUCGGAAUGACUGGGCGUAAAGGGCGCGCAGGCGGUUUUGACAGUCAGAUGUGAAAUUCCUGGGCUUAACCUGGGGGCUGCAUUUGAGACGUCAAGACUAGAGUGUGAGAGAGGGUUGUGGAAUUCCCAGUGUAGAGGUGAAAUUCGUAGAUAUCAGGAGGAACACCGGUGGCGAAGGCGGGUCUCUGGGCAGUAACUGACGCUGAGGAGCUAAAGCGUGGGGAGCGAACAGGAUUAGAUACCCCAGUAGUCCCUGUCUCUUAUAA